UUUUUUUUUUUAUAUAAAUAUUUUAUAUAAAUCAAUGUAAAUUUUCAUAGAUGAACAUUUUAAUAAAUAAAUUUUAAUUUUAAUUUUAAUUUUAAUUUUAAUUUUAAAAAGUUUAUGAUUUUAAUAUAACACAUCAUAGAUAGUAUUGAUGAUUAUAAUAUUGAUAGUAUUCACGUGUUUUUUAAAAAAAUUUAUUUAAAUUUUUUUGGGUAUGUAUAUUUUUAGUCUUUAUAUAUGUAAGUCGAUAAUUCUUGAAUAUCACACUUGCAUAGUACUUAAUUAUGUUCUCAAAAUAAUUAGACUAAAAAAAGAAAAUAAGAAGAUUGUGAGUUAUAAUCAACUUUAAAUUAAUUGAAACUUCAAUAAUAGUUAAUAGUGAUUAGUUUUUUGUUUUUUUUUUUAUCUUAAAAGAUAUAGUAAAUUUCACCAUAAUCAACUCAUACAAACGCGAGAUAAGACGUUAAUUUAACUUAACAAUAUCUACAUUUGUCAGUUGAGUUAGGGUUUAAAAAUUAAUGAUGAGUAGAUUCAUAGUUCAUAAUUUAUAAAAAUAUAAAUGUUUAAUAGCAUUUUAAAAAAACUCAUUUUAUUUUAUAACCUUAUAUAUAUUUUAUAACUUAAUUAUUUUGUGUUUUGUAUUUAUUCGAAUAAAAAGGCGGAUAAAAAUAAGACAUCAAUUCUAGCAGGCAAUGAAAUUGAAGAAACAAGUCCAAUCAAAAUCUUCCUUCACCAAACUUGUAAGUAUAUCGUUAUUGUAAUUUCUGUCGCGUUUUAUACUUCACAAAAAUUUUAAAAAUCAAUAUAAAAAAAUACGAGUAACGAAAAUUGAAACUACAAACUAUUUGAAAGGUGGAUCAACUCUUUAUUAAUUAAACUAACAUUAAUUAACUAAAUAUUUAUAAGUAAGUGACUUAGAAAGAGUUGCGAACCACUUUUUUUUUUUUUUGAAGAAGCAUAAGCAUAGCAUAAGACUUUGCAUGUGGUCAACGAUACAGGAUUCAACGCAAUUUGUGUACGCCACAUUUUGUGAACCAUGUCAUCUCUCCGACCACUUCAAUUCCAUGUAAAUAUGUGAGGCAAAGUCAACGUAUGCAGAUUAGUAUUACUAAAAUUUAUUUAAAGAACAAAAUAAAAUGAAUCGGUUCAAAACCUAAGAAGUACUUCUUACGGUACUACUCUCAUAAAUAAAUAAAAAGUCUCAAAUCUCAGUGAUUAUUAUAAAUAAAAAUUAAUUAUUGUUAAUUUAUUUAAUAUUAGUAUUUUUAAUAUAUUUUUGUUUUAAUAAAAAAUAUUUAAUAUAAAUAGUUGAAUGUAUGGCAUUAAAAAAAACAAUUUAGUAUUCAUGAAUUAUGUUUUACAUAAAUUUAAAAAAUUAAUUGUAUUAAAUUAAUUGUCUUAAUAACUGUAAAAAUAAUUAUUUAUAUUUAUAUUAGUGAUCGGAGAAAGUAAUCUGUUCGUUACAGAAUAAUUAUUUAAAUUAUUUAAUCAUUUUACACAUAUUAAAAAAGUAUAUAAAUAAAAGAUAAAUAAUAUUAUUUUUAACAAGUUAUUCUUGUUAGAUAAUUAUAUAUUAUCAAUAUCAUAAAUACAUAAUAAAAAAUAUUGUAAUAUAAAUAAUAUAAGUAGUACUAAUUAAAAUUAAAAGUAUUAAAAAAAUAUAUUAAAAAUUUUAAUUUUAAUUUUUUAUAUAUUAAUAAAUUAUUGUGCGGCGAGGAUUACUCAUUCACAAAAAAUAUAAGUCGCCGAUGCAAGUCUUAAUGCAGGGAGUAACGACAUUUACUUAACCUUGAUUAAUUUAAGGUACGUACGUGCCAAAUUGACUUGACUAAGUUUUUUUGGGACAAGUUGAUUUGACUAAGUUAAUAGUCGUAAGUGAUAACCACCUACGGGUCUUUGGCAUCAGUUGACUUUAAAUUAUUCUUUUGAUUUUUUUGCACUGAAAAAAAAAAACUACUAGCAGUUAAUUAUAGUUUUGGUAAAAAGAAAAAGUAGUUAAUUAAAGUCAACGCUCCUUCUGUUCCUUUAUACUUAUAUAAAUUUUUGUUCAUAUUUACUUGUCAUUUUCAAAUGUUAAUAUAAUACUACUAUUCAUACUAUUGUUAUAUUAAUAAUGUCUUUAGUUAUUUAUUGUAGAGAAAUAAAUUGAUGUAAUAAAAUAUUAUAGAAAGAUGAUAAAUUUAUUCUAUCAAUAGUAAAUAAAUUAUGAGUUGUAUUAGAGUGUGUUAAAUGUCUUAAAACAACAACUAAAAAAGAUGAAGUAUAAUUUUUUUAUUAAUCCUAUGGAUGCAAAGUGAGAACUCAAACUUGUGGAAAAAAAUUUAGAGAGAGUUUUUCGUCAAUUUAAGUCUUACAAGAUUUGAAGAAUUAACUUUUAUAAUUAUAUACAGGAU
rnacentral:lncRNA from 1 species